AAAAAGGCAUAACAGAAUGACCCGAUCGUCACCACACACGAUCAAAACCACAGGCUACAUACCACCAUCGAAGCGCCCUACAACGACCAAGGAAGCUGACGCAGCAAUUUCGAUAGCUCAACUUGCCCCAGUCCCAGCACCGAUCGCCCUCGCCUGCGGUAUCAGAUUCUAAUCUGCCGUUGUUGCUGUUAGACGUAUCGUUGAGUUCUUGCGUGGAAACAGCAGUGGAUUAUUGGCAGCGUUAGCCAGACGACAGUAACAUACUAGAUCGCUUGAACAGCUCUGCUCUCUGAAAACCCCUGCAGUGAAAGUGAUAGCAACCACCACAACUGACAGAAACGAGCGUGCCAUUCGGCAGGAAAGUAAAAACAAGAACUAGACUGCGGCGCAGUGAAAUCAGCGGACUUAAUUGCAUUAAAAUCAAUUCUUUUUUGUGUCACCUGAAAGUGCGAUCGCAAAUCACAAAAAAAUGAGUAAAAUCUCGCGUGGUAGAGGCGGAAACUCUCGUUGCUACUCGUAUUAUGAAACGAGAUUGAUCCACGUUUCCCGCCACUAUCACGAAAUGGAUGAUGAUGAUUGCUGUGAUAUUUACAAUCACAGCAACGCACCAAGAUACAGCGUUAGAGAAAACAGCUCCUAUAACUACACAAGCAACAGUAGGCAGCAGCUACCGCCCAUUCAAAGAGCAGCCAUGCAGCCAAAAGCUGCCGCUGCUUUGUCACCAAUUGCCGUAUCAUCGAGCCAACAGCUUCAGUGGCCAUUUUCCAAAGAAAGUAUCAUAAAGGUGCCAGUGGGGAUUAAAAAAAGUGCUCCUCGUUCAUUUUUGGUGGGCACAGGAUCAGACAUUUCGUACAUUAAAGCAGAUAAACUAACUAUGCCGUUUCAAGUUAACCACAGGGAAACAUUAACUAUAUACCGUUAUCUAUCCGCGUCGGUAGAGUCGUUGGGCACUGCCACAGUUGAUCUACGUUUCGGCAAAAAGAGAAUCAAGCACCUGUUUCACAUUAUACCAGAUUACGCCGGGCUGCACGUCGAUGGGGUUCUGGGGUGUGAUUUUGUGCACGUACAUGUAGGCAGCAUUGAUUUUGGUAGCCAUAUUAUCACCAUAAGGGCAGGGAACUAAGAUUAUACUUAUUGGAGUAAGAGUUUGCGUGAAAAAAUAUACUCAUGAUUACUUUUCAAAUGAA